GUGGCACAAAUGGUUUGUGCUAGGCUGCUAACCUAAAGGUUGGUGGUUCGAACCCAUCC
rnacentral:tRNA from 1 species